ensembl:snoRNA
GCAUGGCUGAAUGCUGUCUUCUUUUAUCAGUAGUUUACAGAGUCAGAUAGCAUGUAAAAGUAACAUCUUCCCUCUGAAGUGAUCAUGAUACUGUGCAUUGUUUUUUCAUAGCAUAUCUUUAUUAGAAGUGAAUACAAAU